UACGGGGGGGGUAAGCGUUGUUCGGAAUUACUGGGCGUAAAGGGCUCGUAGGCGGCCAACUAAGUCAUACGUGAAAUCCCUCAGCUUAACUGGGGAACUGCGUGUGAUACUGGAUGGCUUGGAUUUGGGAGAGGGAUGCGGAAUUCCAGGUGUAGCGGUGAAAUGCGUAGAUAUCUGGAGGAACACCGGUGGCGAAGGCGGCUUCCUGGACCGAUUACUGACGCUGAGGCGCGAAAGCUAGGG
rnacentral:rRNA from 1 species